rnacentral:lncRNA from 1 species
GAUCGAUCCGUGAGCUGUGUUAGGAGUUAGGUGGAAUUAGUUACAUAGUUGAGAUGUACAUGGUGAGACGAUUCCAACGGAUAUUAGUUUGUGAAUUUUGGUGGUGAAAUGAAUGUGAAACUUUAUUCGAUCGAUCCGUGAGCUGUGUUAGGAGUUAGGUGGAAUUAGUUACAUAGUUGAGAUGUACAUGGUGAGACGAUUCCAACGGAUAUUAGUUUGUGAAUUUUGGUGGUGAAAUGAUUGAAACCGGUUUUGAGAUGGAAGCUCGCGUACACGCGAGGAAGAUGAAGCAGUUCUGGAUGUAAAACUGCGUUUGAUCUUGGUUUCUUUGCCUGGCAAUUCGAAUGUUGUUUCCCUCCCAAACACCAGCCAAUCGCACACCGCCACGCAGUAAAUUAAAC